UCUGGGAUUAGAUACCCUGUUAUUUAAAAUGUUGUAUUAUAAAACUAAGGUAGUAUUAGUUAUGUUCUUUAAACUUAAAAAAUUUGGCGGUAUUUUAGUCUAUUCAGAGGAACCUGUUUUGUAAUCGAUAUUCCACGAUGGACCUUACUUAAUUUUGUAAUCAGUUUAUAUACCGUUGUUAUUAGAAUAUUUUGUAAAAAUGAUAAUUUUCAUAAAUUUUAUAAAAAAGUAUAUCAAAUCAAGGUGUAGCUUAUAUUUAAGUAUUAAUGGGUUACAAUAAAAUUAUUUAUUGCGGAUAUAAGUUUGAAAAUAUGUAUUAAAGAUGGAUUUGAUAGUAAAAUUAUAAAGAUUAAUAAUUUGAUUUUAGCUCUAAAAUAUGUACAAAUCGCCCGUCA
rnacentral:rRNA from 1 species